UGCCUCUGUCUCCUCCUCAACAUCUCUAAAUGGUUCAAAAUAUGGAUGAGCAAGAGCUUGUGUGGCUGUAAGACGCUUCUCCACAUCCAGCUGCAACAUUUUGUCAAGCAAGUCCACAGCUGCAAAAAGGGAGGUCCCUUUAUAUCAGGGCUGGGCAACCUAAUUUCAUGAAUGUGGUGGCUAAUGAGACCGAAAGGAGAGAAGGGCAGCAUGGGGAGAAUGGUUCAGCCAACUGGAGAGAUCAUCAUCAUCAUCAUCAUCAUCAUCAUCAUCAUCAUAUUUAUUUCUAUCCCGCCUCUCCACCAAGAUCACAGUGAAAGCAGGCUCUCUUCUCUAUUUUGGUUUACUUCAGUUGCUAAAGGUACCACUAAAGGAAUAUUUUCCAACUUGAUAUCCUUCAGAUUUGUUGGACCACCCACCAAACAUGUAGACUUUGAAUUUGGAAGUUGUAACUGGAGAACAUAUGGAGAUCAUCUAAAAAGGAUCAGAAAUACAUCCUACAACACUGUUACAAAGAUUAAGCUUUAAAAUGCUUUUGUGUCCUUCUGGUUAUAUUCCUGGUGUUCCUUUGCAAGUGAGCAAGGCAAAAAUACACUUUCUGGUCCUUCAGUCAUUAUGUUGUUAAUUAUGAAUACAGAAGUGAUUCUAUUCAAGUCAUGAGAACAUGAAUAAUAAUAAUAAAAAUCUGUGCCAGGAAAGCUGAAGUUUACAACUUGUGUAAAUUCUGCAAAUUAAUUAUAUCCUACUUGUUUACAAGGUGUAUUUCAAGCACAAGGUGAGGACCUUUAUUUAACACUUUUUUUCCUCACCCAGUUUUAUGAUUAGUUUUCACUUCUAACACUUUGGAUUCUGAUUUAUGCCAAGUAUGUUUGCUGGUGGUCUGCUUACAAUAUUUUUAUUUUUUGUUGCAACCAAAGUGGACAACUUGGACAGUCUAUGUCUGUCCAAUAAAUUAAUAUUGUCCAUUGCUCCAGAGGACAAGAAUGGAACCAGCAACUGGAAAUUCCAGGGGCCCAGAUUUUGGCUAAACAUUAUGAGAAGUUUCCUAAUGCCAAGAGCAGUUUGACAGUGCACAUUUGGGAAGCAGUGGGUUCGGUUCUCCUUUACAAGAGGUAUUCAGUGAAAGUCCAGACAACCAUCUGUUGAGGAUGCAUCCUGCAUUAUAGAGCUGGUGUUGGGCUGUGUGGGGACUAGGUUAAGUAAUUUUUCAACUAUAAAAAAUUUGAUAUAGCUGAUUAUGCUGCAUUAUCAACAUGACUAUAGAUAUGAUUAACGCUAUGUGAUUUUAUGAUAAAUUAUAGCUGAGAGGCACUGCCUGCCAACCAGUUAUCAUGCUGUAGAUCUCCCUUCCCCACCACCAUCUCUGGCCAGGCUUUCGAGAUUUUGUCAGGCAUUGCACACCAUCUCUGAGCAUUGUAUUUCUAGAUAUUAAGUUAAGGCCAGAAUAUGCUAGAUGCCCCAUCCCUUGAAAAGCUGCUAUAGGAGUAGUAGAGAAAAGUUGGGUUGGCUUGGAUUCACAGUGUGAAUCAUGGAUUUACUUCCACAUACACUGUAUCACUUUCUAGAUGUCAUUUCCCUUCCUCAAAACUCUUAGGAAAUUAAUUUACAUGAAGAAAACUGGAUGGCAUGAAGAGUAGAUAUAGCCCAAGAGGAGGAUCCAGUGCUGGAUGUCUGCUGGCAAAACAGCAGAAUUCAGGGGAAGUGGAAAGGGGUGAUAUUUCCUUCCAAUUGCAGCCCCUUGCUCUCCAAAAAAACUGAUCAAGAAGGUUGUAGAAUUCUCCAGAACCAGUUUUCAUGUAGCUCUGAGGACUGAAGGGGAAGGGAAUAAGUUCAGCCAUGCUGGCAUGAGAGUAUCACUACCAAACUGGAUUUAAGCCUGCAAUCCCAGUUGAAAAUUCAUGGCUACUUUUUAUUUAUUUUUUUAAUCAUGGAUACUUUUUUUUAAAAUCAUGGUUGCUUUUUCCUUAAGAAAGAUGAUCUGAUCAGCAGUGAUGGUGAACCUUUUACAGACCAAGUGCCCAAACUGCAACCCAGACCCCACUUGUUUAUUGCAAAGUGCCACGUCCCUCUGGCUUUCUAGUAAGAAACUCUGGCAAACUCUGUGCUAGGGCGACAACAUGUCUGCCCAUAGAGAGGGUCUGAGUGCCAGCUCUGGUACGCGUGCCAUAGGUUCGCCAUAAUUGGCUCUAGUAUCUCAUCUAGUUCGACCCCUCAACCUAGUUUUUAAAAAAUAAAGGCUAAAGCUAAAAUUUCCACUAUGUUGAAUUCUGCACAUAAGACCAAAUUCAAUUUGUCACUGAAAAUUUAAUGAAAGAUCUCUGGGUACUUGCUAGGAUAACUCAGUCGUUUUAGAUAUUGCUGCUACAAAAGAGAACAUCUGUUUGGCAUUCAGGUUUUGACAUUAUGUAAUUGUGAUUGAUACAUACUACCUUCUUUCAAAAUGAGGUCUGGCAUUAUGUAAUUGUGAUUGACAUAUACUUCUUUCUUUUGAAAUGAACUUCGACUAUUUUAAGGGACAAAAUGCAAACUUACAAGUCCUGGAAUCCGUCAAACGAAGUAGCUGAUGUGAAAACAUCAAGUAACCCAAUGACCUGUAGAAGAGGUAGAUUUAUAUUUCUAAGAUUAUGAAGAAAACUAUAGGACAGUAGUGCUUCCCCCCACUAUAAAAAUACCCUCUCAUAAGCCCCAAAAGCUGAGCCAUAUUUCAAUACAGCUUGAAAACUUUCCAAACAAUACGGUGGGGUACCUAUAUUUUAUAUUUUGGGUUGUACCCAAGCAAGCUCCAAGUCCAGGGACUAAUUGGAAUAUUAGGACAUGUGUUUUCAUCUUAAUACUGCAAAAUUUGCAAACAUUGUAAGAAUAGAAACAGAUGAUGAUUUGGUUAUUUUAAUAACUGUGCAUGUAUUUUUGUGUGCUUUUAUUGACAUUUUGUAAUUGUAUUGUUC